UUGGAGGGCAGUCUGGUGCCAGCAGCCGCGGUAAUUCCAGCUCCAAUAGCGUAUAUUAAAGUUGUUGCAGUUAAAAAGCUCGUAGUUGAAUUUCGGGGUUAGUAGGUUGGUCAUGCCUCUGGUAUGUACUGGUCUCACUGAUUCCUCCUUCCUUAUGAACCGUAAUGCCAUUAAUUUGGUGUUGCGGGGAAUUUGGACUGUUACUUUGAAAAAAUUAGAGUGUUUAAAGCAAGCUAACGCUUGAAUACAUUAGCAUGGAAUAAUGAAAUAGGACG
rnacentral:rRNA from 1 species